GUGGCCGUCGGCUGCCAGCCUCUCAGCCCGGGUUUCCGCCCUCCGCCCUCCGCCCUCUUCACCCCAGCUCCGCGAGCCGCCUCUCCCGCUACCGACAGGCUCCUGGGACCACAGGGCGCCGAGCUGGAGCCCCCGCGCGGCUCGCGACGCCACCUGGCGGCGGCGCCCGGAAGGGAGGGGCGGGGCUUCGGUGGCCGGGCUUCGGUGGGCGGGGCUACGGCGGAGACACGGAAGGGGUGUGGUGCGGGAUCCACUACCCCCUUUUCUAGACUUCGCCCCUCUUCCCCUCCUCCCUUGCUCGCCCCCUGGGUCUCCGCCUCCUCCUGCUACUCUCCCUCUUCCUCCUCCCCCUCAGGUGGAGUGGGCGUGUCCCCUUGCGAGCCUGAGCCGCCCUACAGACCUGUCCAGUAAUCUAACGGGAAAGGCCAGGAAGGACGGAGCCACUUCACAGAGAACUGAAAUCCAGAGGGCCAGGAACAAGCUCACACCACGCAGCGAUCUGAACGCUGACUUCCUGCCCCAGGAGAAGAGAAGACAAGACAGAGAGAGGAAAGUCUAACAGGGAGCGGCCAUAGAAAGUGAUGAUUCAGAGCACAGACGCACUCAGACCUGUCCUCCAGGCAGUGUGACCCCGGGAGUCUCCUCACCCUUCUGAGCCUCGUUUGCCUUACCUGUAGAAUUGGGAACAAGAAGGGCACCUGCUUCAUAGGAUGUUUUGAGGGUUAACUGAGAGGCUGCAUGGAAAUCACUUAGCACAGUGCCUGGAAGGUAGCAAGUGCUCAGCAAAUCAUCAAUAAAUUAAUAAAUGUAAAGCUGGUAUCCGA
rnacentral:lncRNA from 1 species